rnacentral:rRNA from 1 species
GUGAGGAAUAUUGGACAAUGGGCGCAAGCCUGAUCCAGCCAUGCCGCGUGCAGGAAGACGCAUCUAUGGUGUGUAAACUGCUUUUGUACGGGAAGAAACACUCCCUCGUGAGGGAGCUUGACGGUACCGUAAGAAUAAGGAUCGGCUAACUCCGUGCCAGCAGCCGCGGUAAUACGGAGGAUCCAAGCGUUAUCCGGAAUCAUUGGGUUUAAAGGGUCCGUAGGCGGUUUAAUAAGUCAGUGGUGAAAGCCCAUCGCUCAACGAUGGAACGGCCAUUGAUACUGUUAGACUUGAAUUACAAGGAAGUAACUAGAAUAUGUAGUGUAGCGGUGAAAUGCGUAGAUAUUACAUGGAAUACCAAUUGCGAAGGCAGGUUACUACUUGUGGAUUGACGCUGAUGGACGAAAGCGUGGGGAGCGAACAGGAUUAGAUACCCUGGUAGUCC